UCGACCUACGGGAGGCAGCAGUCGGGAAUAUUGCGCAAUGGAGGAAACUCUGACGCAGUGACGCCGCGUAUAGGAAGAAGGUUUUCGGAUUGUAAACUAUUGUCGUUAGGGAAGAGAAAGGACAGUACCUAAGGAGGAAGCUCCGGCUAACUACGUGCCAGCAGCCGCGGUAAUACGGAGGAUGCGAGCGUUAUCCGGAUUUAUUGGGUUUAAAGGGUGCGUAGGCGGAAUGCCAAGUCAGCGGUAAAAUCGCGGGGCUCAACCUCGCUCCGCCGUUGAAACUGGCGUUCUUGAGUGGGCGAGAG
rnacentral:rRNA from 1 species